rnacentral:lncRNA from 1 species
AUGAGGAAAUGGAAGUUGGGAGAUUUUAAGUCACAUAACAAGUUAUUUGCAGAAGGAAGUCUGGAGCCCCUGUCUGCUGUGGCCCAGCUUACUGACUUUCUUGACCAGGCCAUUUGCCCUCGCACGCUGACCUUGUAUGCCAUGAAGGUCCCCAACUCUGAAGCAGCUGGGUGCUUGGAAGGCCACACUAUCCCCAAGGAGCAGGCCCAGCCAGGAGAAGGUAAGGGAUGGCGUGGAGCCCUCCAGAGCCUGCAGCGUGAGCACCAUCUGCAGCCCGUUGGACCUGGAGCCUUCAAGGCGGGACUGCGUCACCGGGGAGACUCAAGAGGAAUCGAUACUUCGGCCCCCAGUGACAUGUACACGGUGUAAUGACAGGAAAUGAGCAGGUUUGCACAGAAACUGCUGGCCU